rnacentral:tRNA from 1 species
AAGGGAGACCUAAUUCAGGUAGGAGACGAAAAAAAGUAGUCCCAACCAAGAAUCAAUCCCAAAAGGUCGGAGCGAGGCGAAAUUGGCUUUCAAACUAGGUUCUGGGUUCACACAAGACCUGAAUCAGGAACAAGGGCUAUUAGCUCAGGUGGUUAGAGCGCACCCCUGAUAAGGGUGAGGUCCCUGGUUCGAGUCCAGGAUGGCCCACCUGCACAGGUGGCAAAAACAAGAGAAGCUCCGAAUCAGCACCUUAUCUUAUCUAUAUAUAAGAGAGAAUGCUGGCUCUGAGUACAGAGUCCAGAGGAACCUUGAAAACUGCAUAGAGCUAGGUGAAAAAGCCAAAAAAGAAGACCGCAA